CCCUAACUCUGGCGGCAUGCCUAACACAUGCAAGUCGAACGAGACCUUCGGGUCUAGUGGCGCACGGGUGCGUAACGCGUGGGAACCUGCCCUUAGGUUCGGAAUAACUCCCCGAAAGGGGUGCUAAUACCGGAUAAUGUCUUCGGACCAAAGAUUUAUCGCCUUUGGAUGGGCCCGCGUUGGAUUAGCUAGUUGGUAGGGUAAAAGCCUACCAAGGCGACGAUCCAUAGCUGGUCUGAGAGGAUGAUCAGCCACACUGGGACUGAGACACGGCCCAGACUCCUACGGGAGGCAGCAGUGGGGAAUAUUGGACAAUGGGCGAAAGCCUGAUCCAGCAAUGCCGCGUGAGUGAUGAAGGCCUUAGGGUUGUAAAGCUCUUUUACCCGGGAUGAUAAUGACAGUACCGGGAGAAUAAGCUCCGGCUAACUCCGUG
rnacentral:rRNA from 1 species